AUACUUUUAAUCUUAAACUCAAACUCAAAAUUUGAUAAUUUCAAAAUCUAAUCUCAAAUUUAAAAUCAGAACCUCAAAAAACUAAAUUUUAAAUUUACACCCUAAAUCUAAUACCCUAAACCCCAAACUCAAACCCUACAUAUAAAGUCAAAAAUCUAAUUACUACAAAUAAUAUAAUUACUAAACUAAAUCCUAUUCCUUAUAUAAACAAUAUAUAUUUAGUGUGGAUGAUAUUACAAAUAUGGAUUUUGGUGUGCUUAAAACCCUAAACCCCAAAACUUAACCCUAUACUAUAGACAUAAAUCUUUAAACUCUAAUAUUUUCAUGCUAUAAACCAGAAUUGUAAAUUCAAACUCAAUUUUUUUAUCUUAAUCUUUAACUUCCGCAACAAAAACCUUAAAACUUUAGUCAAACUCUUAAUACCAACCUUUGACAUUACACUUCAAACCCUAAACUCUACAUCCAAAUCUUAAUACAAACUAUCAAACUUUAAUACCUUAAACCCCAACCUUAAUCUCUACAUAGAAAAUCAUAAAUCCAAUAUUUACAAACUUAUAAUAGAAACUUUAAAUUUAAACCUCAAGCAAAAACUCAAAUCAUAUACUUAAUCCUAAAUUUUAACCCUAACCCCUAAACCACAUAUCUCACUUUAACAUAUAUCAUAAAACAUUAAAUCUUAAUUUCUAAAUAAAUUAUAUUUCUGUAAAUAAAUUAAAAUUUCAAAUACAAAAUUUAGAUUUCAAAAUUUAAAUUAUGAUACCAAAUUAUUUAUAGCUUAAAUAAUUUUUAUAGUAGCUAUAAAUAAAUAGGAAGACUAUUUGUAUUGUUUUUUUAAACCAUUGAUUGAUUUGAAUGAAAGGCCCAAAAUCAUUUUUGUAUCUAUCCUCGUCCUUUAUUCCUAUUGGUUAAAAAAAGUUGUGUGUGGAUUGAUAAUUUUAACCAUAGAUUAGAUGUUUUGAACGGUUGAGAUUAAAUCUUUUUGUGUGUCUCUCUCUCUCUUCUCUCACGUUCUUCACUUUCUUCUCUUCUCUCUCUCUCUCUCUCUCUCUCUCUCUGAAAAAAAGAACAACGAGAUUCAUCUUUGUAUUGUCUUUUUUUUUCUGUCUAUAUUCUUCAUCCUUACACAAAAUCACCCCAUCACCAUAAACCUCAGCCGCUGCCAUCAUCUUCAUCUCUCGUUCUAUACCUCUUCCAACGAACUGUAUCUCAGCCAUCACCUCUAAUCACUUCAGCUACGGCUACAAUAAGUGGAUCCAUACGGAAACGUUUGAAGCAGAGUCAGUAGAUUUUGCGAAGGAGACAGAAGAUUUGGCGGAGAAGCCUGACGUCAGAGGAGGUGUGAUGGCUACGUCAGAGCGCUGUGGUGAAGGAGAUGGAGGCGACGACAGGAGGAAAACGACCAUGGAAGUCGGAAGGAGCAGCGCUGUGGUGAAGGAGAUGGAGGCGACGACAGGAGGAAUACAUACAACCUUGAAAGGAGGAAGGAGCGGUGGCUUAGGUUUAGGUUUCGGUUUAAUGUGUUUCAAUUAGUUUGUUGGUUUAAUUAAUUCUGGUUUAGUAUUGUAAAAAUAAAAUUUAAUUGUAAAGUGAAUUUAAUUAAUAAAAAAAAUUUCAUUUUUA